AGCGAACGCUGGCGGCAGGCCUAACACAUGCAAGUCGAACGAACCUUUCGGGGUUAGUGGCGGACGGGUGAGUAACACUUGGGAAGGUGCCUUUAGGUUCGGAAUCACUCAGUGUGACUUGUGCUAAUACCGAAUGUGCCCUUCGGGGGAAAGAUUUGUCGCCGAUAGAUCGGCCCUCGUUUGAUUAGCUAGUUGGUUCAGUUAAUGUCCCACCCUGGCGACGAUAACUAGCUGUUCUGAGAGGUUGAUAAAGUACAUUGGGACUGAGACACGGCCCAAACUCCUACGGGCGGCAGCAGUGUCGAACCGUGUGCAACGGGCGAAAAUCUGACGCAGCCAUGUCGCGUGAAUCAUGAAGGUAUUAGGAUUGUAAUAUUCUUUGACCGGGCACGUGAAUGACGGUACGCGGAGAAGAAGCCCCGGCUAACUUCGUG
rnacentral:rRNA from 1 species